GGAAUCCUGUCUGUCGUCCCUGACGCGUGACGCCUGACAUUUACAUCUUUGACUGUGAUAUAUCAUGGUAAUAUGUUUAUCUAAAAGCAGAGAGAUUUUGUGGCAUUGCAGAGAGCGAAUAAGCGGAAUGGAAAAAUAGGUCAGAUGACUCUGGCAAGGUAUAGCCUAGAAUAGAUGCUAUUAUACCAUGCCUGAUGCAUGAUUGUUGCAGCCUCUUCAAUUGAAUGAACAAUGACAAAAGUUACAAAGACAACUACAAUCCUACAGCAUCGAAAGUGUUAAGUAUUGUUUUCAGAAAGAA